rnacentral:rRNA from 4 species
GCGACCCCAGGUCAGGCGGGGCC